CAUGCCUGUAAUCCCAGCAUUUUGGGUGGCCGACAUGGGUGGAUCACCUGAGGUAAGGUGUUUGAGACCAGCCUGACCAACAUGGAGAAACCCCGUCUCUACCAAAAAUACAGAAUUAUCCGGGCACGGUGUCACCUGCCUGUAAUCCCAGCUACUCAGGAGGCUGAGGCAGGAGAAUUGCUUGAACCCGGGAGGCAUACGUUGCGGUGAGCCGAGAUCGUGCCAUUGCACUGCAGCCCGGGCAGCAAGAGUGAAACUCCGUCUCAAAAGAAAAAGAAGGCUGGGCGCGGUGGCUCAUGCCUGUAAUCCCAGCACUUUGGGAGGCUGAGGCAGGUGGAUCACCAGAUCAAAAGAUCGAGACCGUCCUGGCCAACAUGGUGAAACCCCGUCUCUACUAAAAAUACAAAAAUUAGCUGAGUGUGGUGGCGCAUGCCUGUAGUCCCAGCUACUCGGGAGGCUGAGGCAGGAGAAUCGCUUGAACCAGCGAGGUGGAGGUUGCAGUGAGCCGAGAUUGUGCCACUGCACUCCAGCCUGGUGACAGAGCAAGACGCCAUCUCAAAAAAAGAAAAAGAAAAAGAAAAUUGUUUUAAACUACAACAUGUCAAUGUUUAUUGGCCAAUUGUUGACAUAGGUAUAUUCUUCUUUCUGACUCCUGACUCUUCUGAAGUUGUCUACUGUCUUUGACAUUAAAGACACCAAUAAUGUAACCUCCCGAAAGUGCAAUAAUAUGAAAUAUUGAUUUAUUAAAAUGGAUUAAAAAAUUUAGAAAUGCUUACAAAGCCCACUGAAUAUAGGUUCCCAGGUUUUUUAUAGUUUUUAUAAUUUCUUUGCAAUGUUUGUAUUUCUCACCUACACAUAACUUGAGAGUAGUAGUUUUAGCACUUACCUUUAUUGAACCUUUGCAAGGUAUUCAACUUUUCAAAGGGUUAAUUUUUAUAGAAACUACUCUUUUCAUAUUCAUUGUUUUUAUCAAUAUACGUAAUAUUUAAAUAAUCCUGGCAGUAGUGUAACCACUACACCUGGCAUAACAUGUUGAAAUAUACACACCUGACCCUUGUUAGCACAACCUCCUGAUGCUGAGAAUGAGAACACAGAACACAGGCCUCUGAGUGGAAGCCCCUCUCCAGGAGCAUUCAGCAUACGACAGUCAUCAGCCAGUACAUUCUACAGAAGCUUGGAAAAGAUCGGUUUAUUUGGCAAAAUGGUUAAGUGAAAGCCAGCUGUGAAAGCCAUCUAUUUACAUAAAAAUGAUGAUUAUGGUUAUCUCUGUUUUGUGGGACUAUGAGUAAUUUUAGCUUUUCCUUUGCUUAUUUGUAUAUUUAAAAUAUUCCUCUAUAGUUUUUAACAGGAAAAAAUUAUAUUAAACACAAAUAGCUGGGUAAGAUAAUAAAAUGAUAGUAACUAAACCAGUGUGAUAAUAGGCCAGUGGAAUAGAAGAGAAAGUUUCCAAAACAAAUCGUAUUAUUUAUAAGGGAUUAUACUUAAAAUAGAAUAUACCUAAAAUGAAUAAGGAAGGAAAGAGUCCAUUUAAUAAAUUGUAAUUUAGGACAAUGGGCUUUCAAUUUGAAAACAAAUCUAAGUCAAAUCUAAAUGGAUUUAGGAUUUUUUUAUUAUUAUUAGACCAGGGAAAGGUCAGGAGGAGGAGUGGAGAGGAUCUGAUAAAAUUAGAAAGAUUAGAAGAAAUAAUAGAAAUGAUAGACUUGAAAUAAUAGGAUGAUGGAAAUGAUAGGUGGGGAUUAGGGAGAUGCACGUCUCACAUUUCCUGGAAAUUGUGAUGUGUGAGGCCCAUUUCAGAUGCAUUUCCUAAGCAUGCUCACAGCAGCGUGCUAAAUGUAUCCACUUUCAUUCAACAAGCAUUUCCUGAGACCUCUUCUGGUCAGCCAGAGUUAUAUUCUGGGAGCUCAGUUCUAAAUACUCCCUGAUCUUAAGUAGCUCACAGCCUAAUGAGGGACGCAGAGAGCAGUGAUAGUAGAGAGUGCUUUGGAGCACACAGGAAGGUGUUGAGGUCAUUAGGAGAAACUGUCUCAGCUGAGUCUUGAAGGAUAAGCAGGGAUUAGCCAGAUGAUGAAGGGGUGGGAGGGUGAUUCUACCCAGAAUAGAAGCACUUUGGCACUCAUAUAGCAACAUGAGGAACAGAAGUCAUUCAGGAUGUCCAGAGCAAAGAAGAUGUGCGUUUGCACCAAGAGGUGACCCUGGAGAGGAUACAGGACUCUUACAUGUGUGUUCAGACCUAAAGUGUGUGUUGUGGGGAGCCUGUGACAGGUUGUAAGCAGAGGAGCAAUCUAGCCAUAUGGAGACUGCGUUGAGAGUGGAAAUCUAGAAGAGAAAGACUUGGGAGGAAGGAAGCCUGAGCCGGGGCCUAAGAGGAGGACUGGAAAAGAGCAGGAUUCCAGCGAGAAAUCCAACAGGCUUGGUGACUAAUGAAAUUGGAGGGAAAGGGAAAAUAAAUCAUGAAGGCCUAUACUCAGGAUGACGUGUGCCAUCUCUUCAUUUAGAGAUGGGGGCUUUUGCCAGAUGGUCAAAUUCAUCUAAGCUCUGAUUCUCUACUUCAUUGAAUAUUGGAAAUAUUUACCUUUUCUGUUCCAUGCUAACUGUUGUAAAAUCUCUGUAGUGAUAGGAAGGAGUCCAUUAGAGUUAGAGGUCCUGAAAAUAUUUAUCUGUGCCAGCAAAAAAUGUUUUCCACUCCCUGAUAAUGAUUUCUGGUUUUCAGCUCCCCACAUAACAAAGGCGUGUGUCGCUUAGGUAGUUGUAGACAAACCUCUCAAUGACUCCAACUCUACUCUUCUACAUUGUCAUGCUAACCAUUGGUGUGCUUCUAUGCUAACAAGAAAUAACAUGCAAUAUGUUUUUAGUGUCUGUUUAUAUAUUUAUGCUGCUUUUGUUUUCCAAGAAGGCAUAUAUACAAAAAGAUUUUUUUUAACCCCAGGCUGGAGUGCAGUGAUCCCAUCAUAGCUCACUGCAGCCUCAAACUCCAUAGCUCAAGCGAUCCUCCCACCUCAGCCUCUAGAAUAGCUGAGACUACAGGCAUGCACCUUCACACCCAGCUUUUUUUUUUUUUUUUUUUUUUUUUGGAAAGGCAGGGUCUCGCUUUGUUGCCCAGGCUGGUCUCCAACUCCUGGAUUCAAGCAAUCUUCCCAACUCAGACUCCCAAAGUGCUGAGAUUACAGGUGUGAGCCACCAUGCCCAGCCCGAAAAGAUUAUUAAACUAAAAAUAUAAAAGCAAAGACAUAAACAGGAAGAAACAAAUAUGCUGGACUCUGGGACUAAUAUGGUCACAGUGCAUUGAAGCCUUAAAUUCUUUCAGCUUUCUUAGCAACCUGAUAGGAAAGGAAAACACAAAGAUCGAUAGAAUUUUAUUCUCUGGUAGAAGAAGGUUUAUGCAUUCUUCAGUUUACUGUGGAAGCAAAAAUAACCCACAUAUGGCUCUUAAAUUGGGAUUUGGGGAUGCUAAGCUGGGGAAGUCCCAGCAUGUAAUUUCCUGAUGCUUUCACUGAAGUUGUUACCUCAUACCUUAUUUAGAUCUGUUUCUACUAUGAGUUACACGACAUGGUUCUUGGGUGUAAAUAAAACAGAAAGAUAAGUCUUCAUUUAUUUCGGAUACAUUCACUGAGUUCUACAUUAGCUAAGAAUACCAGAAUAAGAGACCCAGCCUCUGCUCUCUGAAAACUCACACCAUAUUUAGGAAGCAAAGGAGUAAGGAGGUGGGGCUGUAAUAAGCAAAUAAGCCUUUGGGGAAAGGGAAGUAGAGAGUGUUCCAAGGAGGAAUAGCGUGUGUGAAGAAAUGAUGAUGUGUCUGUGAAUCUGUACUGAAGUGUAGGUGUGGGGACAUGAAAUUGGAGCGGUCAGUAGGGAUCAGAUCUCGAGGGUCUUGCAGGCCACCCUAACGGUCUUGAUUUUAUGCUGCAGAAAAUGAGGACUUGCUGAAAGAUUUUAACCAAAGGAAUGUUUGGAGAUAUUUGCCUUUCAGGGGAAAAAUUACCCUGACAACAGUGGGGAGUAUGGCAUGGGGUGAGUUGCUUCUGGGCCAGGAAAACAAAGUGAAGAGACCAUUGUAAAUAUACCAUGUGAUUCAGAAUGAGAAUUCCAACUAGGGCACUAGCAAUAAGAAUGGAGAGAAAAGGCAGGAGAAUCGCUUGAACCUGGGAGGCGGAGGUUGCAGUGAGCUAAGAUUGUGCCACUGCACUCCAGCCUGGGUGACAGAGCAGGACUCAUCUCAAAAAAAAAAAAAAAAAAAAAAGAAUGGAGAGAAAGGGAUAUAUUUAAAAGCUAAUGGAGGGAUAGAAUCAUCAAAAACGGAUGAUUGGUUGGUGUAAGGGGCCAAGUGAAAGAAAGACAGGAGUGAAGCGUGAAUCUCCAGGUCCUGGUUUGCAUGCAAUGCUGCAUUGGAAAAUAAUUUACUUUUCACCUGGAAAGAACCACUUUAAGAUGAAGCCGUAUUUACUUUCAUAAAGAGACAAGAUAAAAUAACAGAAAAAGCACUGAUGUAGGAUUUGGAGUAUUUGAAUUUAUUGCCAGUGCCUCCAGUCCAGUCAUGGGUUGUUUGUCCUCUCUGCCUAUUUUCUUGACUAUAAAAUGUUAUAUGCUCAGCCUGUGCUGUAGGACUACGAUGAUAAAUAAAUGAACUUAGGGGAUAGGAAUAUGCUUCGAAAGCAGUUAAAUACAACAGAGUUGUUAUCUCCUUAUUUUCUGAUGCCUAAAGGAGACAGCAUCGUAUAAGGAAGAGAACAAAGGUUUGGCACUAUGGAUAUAGAUUUGAAUCUGUCUCUGCCUCUUGCUGUAGAAGCUGGGUAACCUGCGAAAGCCACAAAAGCUUUUUGAGGCUCAGGAUCUUCCUUUGUAAAAUGGGAAUAGUCAUGUUUUAUAGGGAUUGUGUAAGACAAUGAUAAUUUUUUCAUUUCACUCAUUCAUUAGCUAACAGAUAUUUAAUGAGUACCUACUACGUGUUAGAAGCCAAGAAUAUAAAAGUGAACAGAACAAGCUAGAGUCUCCACGCUAGUUUUAUGUAUAAAAGCUAAUGGUGGCUAGGCGCGGUGGCUCACAUCUGUAAUCCUAGGACUUUGGGAGGCCAAGGCGGGUGGAUCACUUGAGGUGAGGAGUUUGAAACCAGCCUGGGCAACAUGGUGAAACUACAUCUCUACUAAAAAUACAAAAAAUUAGCUGGGUGUGAUGGCGGGCACCUGCAAUCCCAGCUACUCGGGAGGCUGAGGCAGGAGAAUCUCUUGAAUCGGGGAGGCGGAGGUUGCAGUGAGCCGAGAAUGUGCCACUGCACUCCAGCCUGGGCGACAGAGCAAGACUCCAUUUAAAAAAAAAAAAAAAGCUAAUGGUGGGAUGAUAUGAUUGAAAUGGC
rnacentral:lncRNA from 1 species